AUGGGGCGGUACUUCCGGCCCCUCACUUCCGGCCCCAGCGCUGCGGCGGUCGGUGUGGCAGCGCCGUUCGGGCCCGUUCCGCACCGCGCCCGCCCCUCCGCCCGCAUGCAGCGCCGCGACGACCCCUCCGCCCGCAUGGGCCGGGGUCCGGGGGGGCCCGGAGGCGCCCGCCAAGGGGGGCCCAAUCAGCGGCGGUCGCCCCGAGGCGGGGGGGGCCGUGGGGCCGGGGCCCAGCAGCCGCAGCCGCUGCUGACCGGCGGAGCGGCCGCCGGCUCCUCGGGCGCGCAGGGCCCCGCCGCCGCCUCCCCUGCCCCGCUGCUGCCCGGGGGUGCCGGCAAGAUGGAGCCCGAGAACAAAUACCUGCCCGAGCUGAUGGCUGAGAAGGACAGCCUGGACCCGUCCUUCACGCACGCCAUGCAGCUCCUCAGCGCAGAAAUUGAAAAAAUUCAGAAGGGUGAAACAACAAAGAAGGAUGAGGAAGAGAACUACCUGGAUUUAUUUUCUCACAAGAAUAUGAAACUGAAAGAACGAGUUCUGAUCCCUGUCAAACAGUACCCCAAGUUCAACUUUGUUGGAAAGAUUUUGGGACCUCAAGGUAACACCAUCAAGAGGCUUCAGGAAGAAACUGGUGCUAAGAUCUCUGUGCUUGGGAAGGGUUCAAUGCGAGAUAAGGCAAAGGAGGAAGAGCUGCGUAAAGGGGGAGAUCCUAAAUAUGCUCAUCUAAAUAUGGAUUUGCAUGUCUUCAUUGAAGUGUUUGGACCCCCUUGUGAAGCAUAUGCUCUGAUGGCUCAUGCCAUGGAAGAAGUCAAGAAGUUCCUUGUCCCAGAUAUGAUGGAUGAUAUCUGUCAGGAGCAAUUCUUGGAGCUCUCCUAUCUGAACGGUGUACCAGAGCCAACUCGUGGCCGAGGAGGCCCUGUGCGGGGAAGGGGAGCAGCUCCACCACCGCCUCCACCUGUUCCAAGGUACCUUUCCCAAAAGCAUGGACCUGGAAAUGCUGCAUCUUGCUCAGAGUGGUGCUGCGAGAUCAGGGGGCGCGGUGUUGGGCCUCCCCCUCCGCCGCCUCCUCCCCGGGGGGCCCUGGUGCGAGGAGCCCCGGUGCGGGGUGCCAUUGCCAGGGGAGCAGCUGUAGCCCGUGGAGUUCCGCCCCCCCCAGCAGUGCGGGGAGCUCCUGCCCCCAGAGCGCGUGCGGCCGGCAUCCAGCGGAUACCGCUUCCUCCUCCUCCAGCACCAGAAACCUACGAGGAAUACGGUUACGAUGAUGCAUAUGCAGACCAGAGCUAUGAGGGCUAUGAAGGCUACUACAGCCAGGGCCAAGGGGACACAGAAUACUAUGAUUAUGGACACGGGGAGGCACAGGAAACCUAUGAAGCUUAUGGCCAAGAUGACUGGAACGGCACCAGGCCCUCCCUGAAGGCCCCCCCAGCCCGGCCGGUGAAGGGCGCCUACAGGGAGCACCCAUACGGACGUUACUAAAAACAAAAUGAGGGAAAAAUAGCAGUUAUGAGCAAACAGUUGUUACUGAUUCUUGUAUCUCCCAGGAUUCCUGUUGCUUUGCCCACACCAGACAAGAGCGCGGAGCGGCGGACGAGGGCUGAAGGCGAGGAGGGGCAGCGCUCAUUGGAUCGCUGGAAGCCUGAGCUCCAGAAAUCAGAGAACAAAGAAAUAAGCCUUUGUGCUGCUGGAGGAGUGUAACGGCUUCAAAAGACUGCUGCGCAAAGCCCCGGGAGCGGGACGUGGAAGGACAUGAGACUGAUUUUAUAUGGAAAUGCAGAGCUACCCAACGAGCUUCUCUUAAGAGCGUUAGGAACGAGAAGAUGGUUAUAUGUGGAAAUGGUGCAGCACAAUGAGAUUAGCCUCAAUCCUUUGCCUUUAACUUGAAAAUUGGAGCCGUAAUUCUGUUAGGGAAAGACGUCGCAUCUGGAAUUCGGGGGGCUGUUUGUGUAAUGCAUCUCCAUUACAACGUAACUGAAACAUCAGUUCAUGCGCUGGUGUUCCAGUCUUUGCCAUUUCUUUCUUAAUAGGCACAACUUUUAUAUCAAAUGGAAAAGAUUUGAUAGAGAUCAUCUAUUAUGAUGCAGUUUUUUACCAGUAGGAUCUUGUGGCACCGCCUUUGGAGUUGUACAGCUUGCUUGUGCAUCACAUUUAUUGCAUGUUUAUGUGAAAAUGUUGAAUGUUAUGGGGGAAUGUAAAUCUUAAUAUAUUGAAAAUAACUGCAUACGCUAAAAAUAUUUCAAAAACAUGUUCUGCAUCAGAUAGCUUCCUCCCUCUCAAAGCAUCGCUCCACGCAGAUUGUAGCCGAGAGUCUGCAGAAGCUAAUUGGAGAUCCCAGAAUAGCCGUCAGCAUCGGAUGUGUCUUUGAGAUGCUGUAAUGAGCCACGGUCCGGGGUGAUGCAGGGCUCACAGAAAUAUGUGAGGGUGGAGAUUCCUCGGAGUGCUGGAGGCCGAGUCACCCAGUAACCUCCCCUUUUCUGCUCACAGCCGCUGGAGAUGGCACUGGUUCUGCUGGCUGUUAGCAAACGAGUGCAGAUGACAUUUCACCUCUGGACUUGUCCGUAGAACUAAUCUCAUUGUUUGUGGGAUGGUGGCCAAGUCCAUACACAAGAUAAAAGCCCGCACAGCGUGGUGUCCAGCAGCAGUCACAUCUCCCUGUGGAAGUGUUUCCCAGCAGUGCUGUUUGUAGGCUUGGCUUUAGGACACCCUCUGCUACAGAGCUCUCCCUGCUCAGCAGUCCAUCUUCUCUGGCUCCUGCUCUGGGAGGCUGCUGCUGCUUCAGCCUCUGGUCCAGCAUUUGGUACUCAGGCUGCCUUGCUUGGAGCCGUUACACAGCUGGACUCUGUCCUCCUUCAGUGGGAAGUCACCACGUGUCGUGGUUCCCAGCAUCGAGCAGCAGCUGAGCUCCAGCUGGGACUGCAGAGAUGUCCCGAGCAGUUCUUCCUGGAAGGAGACUGUUGUACUGCGUGUAUUCCUUACCCCUGGUUUCAAGUUGCUGUUUAGAUUAUUAGAUAAAGCAAAUGACUGCGAGCUUUAUUUCAUAAUUUAUUGAUGGUAAUUUUUAUUUAGCAUGGCCCUCUGUAAAACUCCAUCUUUGGCAAGUUGGAUCCAGCUGAGGUUUAGGAGCACAGCUGCAUUCCUUGCUUGGCUCUUAGAGCAGAUGAUUCCUCUUGUACAGAAUGAGUUUUCAAAUUUGUAUGAGAGCAUCUGUCACGGACAGAGCCAAGAAAAGCAAUUGAGAUGUGCACCUCUUCCUCCCUGCCCCACACCGCUGCUCCUGAAGGGCCCACGUGGGCAGGGGGCAGCUGGCACAGACCCAGGGGGGGGCAGCAGCUGUGCCUGCCUGCAGGGAGCUGAGCAGAGCAGGAGGUGCCGUUAGCACAGCCCUGCCGUGAGGGCUGUGAGUGCAGAUGGUGCUUGUGGGGAGUGUGGCACAGCUUAGGGAAAUCCUGCCUUAACUGAGAAACCUGCAGCCUCCCGGGCGAGAUGUUGGACACCAGCCCUGUUGGUGAGCUUUGAGGGGGAGGAAUUUCUGCAGCCGGUUGGUGCCUGUGGGGAACUGCCGUCUCCAAUGUAGAUCUUAUUCCUCUUCUCAGGAAGCUCAGAUCCCCAGAGCACAGAGCAGAACCCUUUGCUGUCGUUGCUCAGCUGAGCCAUAUGUUCCAAUAGAAAUGUUUGUUUCCACGCUCACUUUGCUCCUUUUGAGAUGCGGGACGGAGAUGGGAUGCGUUGCUUUCAGAUGACGAAGGAAUGCAGUCCGGGAGCCCUUUGCUUUACUGCAAGGUGGAAGCAGCCGGCUCUGCUGAACGGCGGAGCUCCUUCAGCCACCUCCAGAGCUGGAGAGAGGCAGCAUCGAAGCACGGCCUUCCCCAUGGAGCUGUUACUGCUGCCUCUGGAACCCAGCACGAGCGAAAGCCUGCAGCGUUCCACCCUGCCCUGCUGCUGUGGAGCGCCGGUGCUGCUGCCGGGCUGGAGGACCUGGUUCUGCUGCCGCUGCCGGGAUGCUGCUGGGCUUCGGUGGCUGCACAGAUUCCAAAACCAAUAAGGAAGAGAAGAUUGGUCCAUGAAAGGCCGUUAAUUUUGGAAGUGGCUUUGCCUGCAGCCUGGGCAGGGUUGUGCACUGCUCCAUCUGAACCACAGCCUGAGCCGCCCCGAGUUGGGGAACUCAGUGCAAAGCGCUGCAGUGGCUCCAUCCAGCGCUGAUGGAGGUCAAUGUUGGCCGAGGUGAAUGGUGGCGUUAAGCUGGUUGUGCGGGAAGCUGGCACGGUGCGACACAGCUGGCGUUCAGCUGAUGCUGGAAAUGAUUUGUCAUUCUUAAUAAAGAUUGAACGCGGAC